CAAAACUGACCUUUGGGCAAAGAACUGCCCCUGCUUUGACCACUGACAAAAUGCAUGGUGUCUAGACUGGACAAGUAGGAUACAAGCAGAAAGACUGCCAACCCUUGCCAAGGCAGGAACAGGUAUCGUCUAUCUGGGACAGUGGAGCUGGUCAGACUCCUCAAGAUCGAAGCCUGCACCUACAACCCCUAACUGAGUUGCCAUAGACCCUCGGAGCCUCUGCCACAUCUUCUGAGAACUUCCACUUUCCUCACCAAAUCUGCUGAUGAUGACAGUGAAGAUGUGAGGUUGACUGUUGCUGCAUGGAAACCUAGCCGGUGGGGUGGUGACUCCAGCCACACGGAGCUCCAGCCUAUGCCAGCAGCUGCAAAGCCACAGAUAAGUGACUUUUUCGUGAAUUCAUACCCCAAAAGUUGGGUGCCAGAUGUAACAUUAAUUCUAAUUGCUCUUAAUAAUAAAAACCCAGGGUCAGUUAUCAGGGGCAGAAACUGAAGGAUCAGAGAAGCAGAGCAAUCAGCUACUACAGAGUUCUUACCUCUGCCAGUGCUCAGACUGAAGGGGCAAUCCUGUCUCUACGAAUCCCCAGACUGAAAUCUCUCUGAAUCCUUAGACUGCCUCUCAGAAUGAAUCCUCAGACUGCAUCUGAGCCUCUGUCUCCUACAACCUUAUAUUCCUCUCUUCACCCAGCCAUAUCACUCCUGUCUCCAUCUCCCUAGUUCUGGGAUUAAAGGUAUGUGAUCCCAAAUGCUGGGAUCCCCUCUGUGUGAGCUUUGUUUCUCUUCUAGACAGAUUUAAUCUUGUGUGGCCCAGACUGGCCUUGAACUCACAGAGUUCUGUCUGCCUCUGUAGGUGGGGCCAAUGAACUCUAAAUGCUGGUCUCCUUCCCUCAUUAUGAUCUAUGGGUCUGUUGUAAUACGUUGUCAGAUCUGUGUCUGCCCUCACUCCCUGCCCCAGGAAAGUCAGUGUUAGCUCUCAAAUUCUGGAUUAAUGACUGACUGAGGUGCCUAUAUCAACAUAUCAAAACAGAUCUGGCUGCCAGGUUUUUCCUGCAUCCCUUAGCCCCUACCUGUAAAAGGGUAUGACUCGGAUACCCCACCCCUUACACCAAAUUUCUCCAGCCUAGGGUCUGGGCUGCCCUCUCCCGAGCUGCCCUUCCCUGUAUAAUACAACCAUGUCGGUGACCUUUUGUCUGCUGUUUAUUCUCCUGGUUCUCCAUUCUCUCCUCCCCGUUCUCCUCACAAGGUCCAGCUCAGUUAGGUCACGCCACUCUGGACUCUCCCAGGUGUCUCUAUCUCUGGCUAUACUCCCUCUUUUUUCUACAAUAAACCUUCUCCUCCACCAUUUCCAGGAGCAGCCAUGUCCUCCUUACUUAUUUUUCAUUCAGCCAGAUUCUGUUGUGAGUGAAAGACUGAGACUUCAACUGUACCUCUGAGUUUAUGAUCUAGGCUCCUUGUCAAAAUAGCAACCAUAAAAUCAAACAAACAAAAAAAAUGAUUGCCUAACAUUUUGAUUUUUUGUGUGGUUGUGU